AAUCCAUAGGUUAAUGAGGCGAACCGGGGGAACUGAAACAUCUAAGUACCCCGAGGAAAAGAAAUCAACCGAGAUUCCCCCAGUAGCGGCGAGCGAACGGGGAGGAGCCCAGAGCCUGAAUCAGCAUGUGUGUUAGUGGAAGCGUCUGGAAAGGCGCGCGAUACAGGGUGACAGCCCCGUACACAAAAGCGCAUGUGCUGUGAGCUCGAUGAGUAGGGCGGGACACGUGGUAUCCUGUCUGAAUAUGGGGGGACCAUCCUCCAAGGCUAAAUACUCCUGACUGACCGAUAGUGAACCAGUACCGUGAGGGAAAGGCGAAAAGAACCCCGGCGAGGGGAGUGAAAAAGAACCUGAAACCGUGUACGUACAAGCAGUGGGAGCACCCUUUGGGGUGUGACUGCGUACCUUUUGUAUAAUGGGUCAGCGACUUAUAUUCUGUAGCAAGGUUAACCGAAUAGGGGAGCCGGAGGGAAACCGAGUCUUAAUUGGGCGUUAAGUUGCAGGGUAUAGACCCGAAACCCGGUGAUCUAGCCAUGGGCAGGUUGAAGGUUGGGUAACACUAACUGGAGGACCGAACCGACUAAUGUUGAAAAAUUAGCGGAUGACCUGUGGCUGGGGGUGAAAGGCCAAUCAAACCGGGAGAUAGCUGGUUCUCCCCGAAAGCUAUUUAGGUAGCGCCUCGUGAAUUCAUCUCCGGGGGUAGAGCACUGUUUCGGCUAGGGGGCCAUCCCGGCUUACCAACCCGAUGCAAACUGCGAAUACCGGAGAAUGUUAUCACGGGAGACACACGGCGGGUGCUAACGUCCGUCGUGAAGAGGGAAACAACCCAGACCGCCAGCUAAGGUCCCAAAGUCAUGGUUAAGUGGGAAACGAUGUGGGAAGGCCCAGACAGCCAGGAUGUUGGCUUAGAAGCAGCCAUCAUUUAAAGAAAGCGUAAUAGCUCACUGGUCGAGUCGGCCUGCGCGGAAGAUGUAACGGGGCUAAACCAUGCACCGAAGCUGCGGCAGCGACACUAUGUGUUGUUGGGUAGGGGAGCGUUCUGUAAGCCUGUGAAGGUGUGUCGUGAGGCAUGCUGGAGGUAUCAGAAGUGCGAAUGCUGACAUAAGUAACGAUAAAGCGGGUGAAAAGCCCGCUCGCCGGAAGACCAAGGGUUCCUGUCCAACGUUAAUCGGGGCAGGGUGAGUCGACCCCUAAGGCGAGGCCGAAAGGCGUAGUCGAUGGGAAACGGGUUAAUAUUCCCGUACUUGGUGUUACUGCGAAGGGGGGACGGAGAAGGCUAUGUUGGCCGGGCGACGGUUGUCCCGGUUUAAGCGUG
rnacentral:rRNA from 1 species